CCCCCAGGACAAUCGCAUGGCAAUCGGAUUGAACGCGCAACAUUUUCCAUACAAUCCGCAGUGUUGCGUUUUCUUCGCGCCAACUUUGCCUGUAUUUUCAAUGAGCCAAGCGAUUUUACCCCCUCCUACACGCAUUGUAUCCUACAGCACGCUUGACGCGGCAACGUUCACCACAUACACACACACAUCUCCACACUCAGGGUACGACAUCUUCCCUGUUGCUGUUCUGGACUCAGACAAAAUUUGUGUUUCUACACUUAUUGUUCAAAAAAGUAGUAGCUCCUAGGAUCUGAAUUUACAAACAAAUAUCAAAAUGUUAUGUUCUGCUAAUGAUAUUGCUCUAAAUUUAAAUGCACUACAUCAAGUUUUUACAUAUCUUUCGUAAAAGUUCGCCAGAGUAUAAAAACGUCGAUACAAUUUGUCAUGAAUAACUUAAAUUUCAAGAUUUUCGCGCAUAAAAUUAUGACGCGCGCUGUGUGUGCGGCGGCGUAAUUCGCUACUCGUAUAGCCGUCUCGCUUCUUCUUGUGUGUGCUUUACCGUUGCUGACCGCUUCAAGAACAUUGCUGCUCACACACACGUCAGUCUGUGGCAAACAAUUGGAGGGGGAGGAUGUGUCGGUUUGCUCCAGAAAUCGUGUGUGAUUUUGGUGUUCUGGAUUUGGUUCCAUCGCUGUUUGUUUUGGUGAAUUUGAAAAGGUAAGAAUCAUCAACCGAUGUAAAAGUGUGAGAGUAAGAUGAUGCUGAUGGUGACUGAUGCUUUUCUUUGUUUCUUUUCCUGCUUUCAUCCACUGAUGGCGUCGAGCAUCGCCGAGGAUGUGAUCGAAUGCGGAAUAUUCUAAACAAGGAGCUUCAUUCCGGAUUUUGUUUGCAAUAAGCGCUGAACUAAUCCUCCAGCUUACAACGAACGGUCAACGGAUGAGGAAGGAGAGGAGGGACGGCAAAGGUACACGCACAAACGUGCACACAUCAGCCUUCUCGGAGAACGAGAACACGGGAGGGGGAGACCGGCAACGUAUAGAACCUUUACGCUCCCUCGUGCGUUCGUGCGUGCGUGCGCGCGCGCGUCUAUGUGUGUGUAUGUGUGUGCAUGCCUGCGUGCGUGGCUGUGUGUGUUUUUGCCGCUUCGCAUAACGAGAUCCUACGGGAUCACCUUGCGAAAAACACCAAGAGAGGGGGAGGGGUAGGUAUGUGUGUAUGUGUGUGUGUGUAUGUGUGCUUGCAUGCGUGCAUGGCUGUGUAUGUGUGUGUAUGUGUGCUUGCAUGCGUGCGUGGCUGUGUAUGUGUGUGUAUGUGUGCUUGCAUGCGUGCAUGGCUGUGUAUGUGUGUGUAUGUGUGCUUUUGCUGUUUGGCGAUCUCCUACGGAAUCACCUUGCGAAAACACGUGGGGGGGGGGGGAGGAGUGAGGUGUGUGUGUGCUUGCCUGCGUGCUUUGUGUGUGUGUUUUUGCGUUCACGUUCUACGGGAUCACUUUGCGAAAAACACCAAGGGGAGGAGGAGGUGUGUGUGUGUGUGUGUAUGUUUUUUUUUCUUUGCCGAUUCGCACUCUCUCGCGGAUCUAGUUGUGUGCGUUAGUUUUUUUUUUUAGUUUCUUCGAAAAAUACCUGGGGGAGGAUGUGUGUAUGAAAGAAUGUACUUCAGAAAAGAAAGUGAAAAAUAAAAAACGAAUAUGAAAUAUGUUAAACGAA